rnacentral:tRNA from 1 species
GUGGCUCAAAGGUAGGGCACUGGCCCCAUAUGCCAGAGGUGGUGGGUUCAAACCCAGCC